UUAUUCUUUGUGUAUCUGCCCCUGGCCAAAUUAAGGAAACAAUGCGUGCACGCUCCCUGAAGUAAUUCACACCAGACACAGGUUUCAGGUUGUUGAAUAACUUGAGGAAUGUUUAUUCAGAGGGGAUGCCAGAUCCCUUUUAAAGCAAAAUUACAUCAUAAGCAUUGUCAGAGAUAACAUGAAAUAAUACAUCAAUAAUUGGUUAGGUGUUAAGUGGUCUUCUUAGUGCUCUGCCUACUAAAGGUGAUGUCACUGGAACCAUGAGGGUCUCCCACGGAUUCCAGCGCCAUCUUGUUGCACUAGGUAGUUAGUCGGUGUUAUAGGGAGGGAGGGGUUAGAAGCUUCUAGCAGCCAUUUUGUCUAAAUAUGCGUGUAUAGCUUAUAUACUGAUUUUAGUGAGAUGAGUAAAUAGACAUUUUACUAACUAGAAAAUAUAUCAAUAUCUUAUUUCCACAACAUACAUAGAGUGGUAUGGAUGUUGAAUUUAUAUC